rnacentral:rRNA from 1 species
GACGAACGCUGGCGGCGCGCUUAACACAUGCAAGUCGAGCGAAGCGGCGGACGGGUGAGUAACACGUGAGUAACCUGCCUUAGACAUUGGGAUAGCCUCGGGAAACCGGGAUUAAUACCAAAUGGUCUAAGAUGGACUCGCGUCCAAUUAGCGAGUUGGUGAGGUAACGGCCCACCAAGGCGACGACGGGUAGCCGGCCUGAGAGGGCGACCGGCCACAUGGGGACGUAGAUACGGACCAAACUCAACGUGGGGCAGCAGUGGGGAAUAUUGCACAAUGGGGGAAACCCUGAUGCAGCAACGCCGCGUGCGGGAUGACGGCCUUCGGGUUGUAAACCGCUUUCAGCCAUGACGCGGUAGUGGCAGAAGAAGCACCGGCUAACUACGUGCCAGCAGCCGCGGUAAUUC